CAACUUUCAGCAACGGAUCUCUUGGCUCUCGCAUCGAUGAAGAACGCAGCGAAAUGCGAUAAGUAACGUGAAUUGCAGAAUUCAGUGAAUCAUCGAAUCUUUGAACGCACCUUGCGCCCUUUGGCUAUUCCGAAGGGCAUGCCUGUUUGAGUAUCG
rnacentral:rRNA from 1 species